rnacentral:lncRNA from 1 species
GCCGGGCGUGGUGGCGCACACCUUUAAUCCCAGCACUCGGGGGGCAGAGGUAGGCGGAUUUCUGAGUUCAAGGCCAGCUUGGUCUACAAAGUGAGUUCCAGGAUAGCCAAAUAUAUAUAUAUAUAUUUGGGGUUUUUUUGAGACAGGGUUUCUCUGUGUAGCCCUGGCUGUCCUGGAACUCACUUUGUAGACCAGACUGGCCUCGAACUCAGAAAUCCGCCUGCUU